rnacentral:rRNA from 1 species
AAGAUUAGGAUUCCAUGGAUCUUCGAGAUCCUGUAGCCCGCAUGUUGAACACGUGUUUGAUAGGCCGGAGGUGGAAGCCCCGUGAGGGGUGGAGCCGACCGGUACUAACGGGCGACGGCGACA